AACGAACGCUGGCGGCAUGCCUAACACAUGCAAGUCGAACGAGACCUUCGGGUCUAGUGGCGCACGGGUGCGUAACGCGUGGGAAUCUGCCCUUGGGUACGGAACAACAGUUAGAAAUGACUGCUAAUACCGUAUAAUGACUCCGGUCCAAAGAUUUAUCGCCCAAGGAUGAGCCCGCGUCGGAUUAGCUAGUUGGUGAGGUAAAAGCUCACCAAGGCGACGAUCCGUAGCUGGUCUGAGAGGAUGAUCAGCCACACUGGGACUGAGACACGGCCCAGACUCCUACGGGAGGCAGCAGUGGGGAAUAUUGGACAGUGGGCGAAAGCCUGAUCCAGCAAUGCCGCGUGAGUGAUGAAGGCCUUAGGGUUGUAAAGCUCUUUUACCCGGGAUGAUAAUGACAGUACCGGGAGAAUAAGCCCCGGCUAACUCCGUGCCAGCAGCCGCAGUAA
rnacentral:rRNA from 1 species